rnacentral:sRNA from 1 species
CUGACGGCCUCCAACCACGUGAGCAACGUCACCGUGAACUACAACGUCACCGUGGAGCGGAUGAACAGGAUGCAGGGCCUGCGGGUCUCCACAGUGCCGGCCGUGCUGUGCCCCAAUGCCACGCUGGCACUGACGGCGGGCGUGCUGGUGGACUCGGCCGUGGAGGUGGCCUUCCUGUGGACAUUUGGGGAUGGGGAGCAGGCCCUCCACCAGUUCCAGCCUCCGUACAACAAGUCCUUCCCGGUUCCAGACCCCUCGGUGGCCCAGGUGCUGGUGGAGCACAACGUCACGCACACCUACGCUGCCCCAG